AAAUUUUUCUGUGGCUGUUGUUGUUUGACCGAGAGUUUUUGGUGUGGUGUGUUUGAUAACCUCUUCUAAAGCCUCUUUUCAUCUCAAAAUAUACAAAAUCUAUAGGUUUGAGGUUUGCCAAAAUUAUUUCCAGCAUUAAUUUGGUCUUGCUCUUCAUGUAUACUUAGUGUGUUGAUGUGAAUUUGCUUCUUGGUUGUGUGAUUUUCUUUGCUGUCUUGUUCAUUUUGUGCCACUGUUUUGACUCUUAAUUCUUGCUGUUUUGUCUCUUAAAUAUCUUUAGAUUACUGCCACCUUGUUUUGUGCCAAGUUUCUUGAUUUUUUAGGUUCAAUUUUCAUCAUUUGUCUUGGGGU
rnacentral:lncRNA from 1 species